UACUGAAGAAUAUUUGUUUUGCUGAGCUCGAUUGACUUUUGACACAUUUCUUUGAUAUUACAGAUGCAGUAGAUGACUUUACUGCUGCCCUACUUAUCAUAGGUUCUGCCACUACAGCUGAUAUUGAGAGGACAAUCGCCAUACCCGAAACACCUCGUCUGAUACCGCUUGGCCUUUCGUUGGAAUAAACCCAGAGAGGCACCAAGACUGGACGAGGCAAAGUCGUAUCCAAGAAAACGGGCAAAGUUACAACCAAGAAGAGUACCACAGUGAACCCACAUGUGUCCACUCUGCUAAGGAGACUCAUGGAUUUUGAGUGGGACUUCAUUUGAGAUGGCACACACACACGGCUACCUGGGCUGGAUUGAGAAACCUGGUGUCUUUGAAUGAGUCGUAACUCUCCUGCCAAUGUUCUUGGACUUUCGCACUAACAGUAACUACAGUUUUGUAACAUGUACUGUUUAGUGAUGUUCAUGUUAAUUAACAUUCAUUUAUUUAACAUGCAAUUGCUCUGCAUGUGAAGGUUUUGCAUGUCAACUUUACAUUCAAAUAAAAAGU